rnacentral:rRNA from 1 species
GCAAACUAAUAUGAAGAGCUUCCUCAUCUCAUCUGACCUCAGAAUAUAAUCAGAGUCAGGGCUGGUCAGUACUUAGAUGGGAGACCGCAAAGAAUACAGGUGCC